rnacentral:misc_RNA from 1 species
AAAUUAUUCCAAGAAAAAUAUAUGUUUAUUUUUAUAUUUAUGCAGAUUUAAUCCACUGCUGAGAAUUCGACGGUUCACUGUUUCCUGAUGACCCCGCUGCAGCGAAGUUCAGCGAUCCAUCGGUGAUUCAACGUUACCAAUCUAUUAUAUGGACGCCCCUUGUAUGAGUGGCGUCUGCCUCUGUGAACGCUAAGUCCAUUUUUUGGCUUUUUCUAAGUCCUUCAAGUAAAUUUCUCUUGCAGAGUUUAUCAAUUUCAUCUUCACCGCACUACACCCCUUCUUUCUCUAUCGUAAUCUUGACCUAGACAACGAUGUCCAAUCCGGCCGAAUCUGCAGCUUUUCCGACGGAAUAUUCUGUCCCUGUGGGUAGCGCUGACCUUCGUGUUUCUCUCCGGAAUCUCUCCACGGUGCAAGUGAGAAUGGAUUCUCUGCAGCAGUUCUUGUCAGAAUCCGUCAACAACAAUACGUUAAUCAGCAAAGCUCAGAUGGAUAUGGUCUCCGCUGAGAUCUCCUCCGCCAUCCACCAGAUUAUCGUCAAUGGCGCUGCACUUCUCGCGGGUUCCCAACCGGUGAUCGAGCUUCCCGUUGCCGCUAAGCCCCCGGAGAUACUUCCAGAUCCACCUGAUCUGAAAUUUGCAACUAAAACCUCUAAUUCGUCGGACAGUUAUUCCAAUAAAGGAAAUCAGGUGGCAAAUUUCAGUUUAAAAGUGGAAGAAAGGGAUGAUUUUGAUGUUGACUGUGAUAUAGUGGAGCUUGAUGCGGUGGAAUUGCUGGCGGAGCACGUUCAUUU